rnacentral:rRNA from 1 species
GGUUAAGCGACUAAGCGUACACGGUGGAUGCCCUGGCAGUCAGAGGCGAUGAAGGACGUGCUAAUCUGCGAUAAGCGUCGGUGAGGUGAUAUGAACCGUUAUAACCGGCGAUUUCCGAAUGGGGAAACCCAGUGUGUUUCGACACACUAUCAUUAACUGAAUCCAUAGGUUAAUGAGGCGAACCGGGGGAACUGAAACAUCUAAGUACCCCGAGGAAAAGAAAUCAACCGAGAUUCCCCCAGUAGCGGCGAGCGAACGGGGAGGAGCCCAGAGCCUGAAUCAGUGUGUGUGUUAGUGGAAGCGUCUGGAAAGGCGCGCGAUACAGGGUGACAGCCCCGUACACAAAAAUGCACAUACUGUGAGCUCGAUGAGUAGGGCGGGACACGUGGUAUCCUGUCUGAAUAUGGGGGGACCAUCCUCCAAGGCUAAAUACUCCUGACUGACCGAUAGUGAACCAGUACCGUGAGGGAAAGGCGAAAAGAACCCCGGCGAGGGGAGUGAAAAAGAACCUGAAACCGUGUACGUACAAGCAGUGGGAGCCUCUUAAUGGGGUGACUGCGUACCUUUUGUAUAAUGGGUCAGCGACUUAUAUUCUGUAGCAAGGUUAACCGAAUAGGGGAGCCGAAGGGAAACCGAGUCUUAACUGGGCGUUAAGUUGCAGGGUAUAGACCCGAAACCCGGUGAUCUAGCCAUGGGCAGGUUGAAGGUUGGGUAACACUAACUGGAGGACCGAACCGACUAAUGUUGAAAAAUUAGCGGAUGACUUGUGGCUGGGGGUGAAAGGCCAAUCAAACCGGGAGAUAGCUGGUUCUCCCCGAAAGCUAUUUAGGUAGCGCCUCGUGAAUUCAUCUCCGGGGGUAGAGCACUGUUUCGGCAAGGGGGUCAUCCCGACUUACCAACCCGAUGCAAACUGCGAAUACCGGAGAAUGUUAUCACGGGAGACACACGGCGGGUGCUAACGUCCGUCGUGAAGAGGGAAACAACCCAGACCGCCAGCUAAGGUCCCAAAGUCAUGGUUAAGUGGGAAACGAUGUGGGAAGGCCCAGACAGCCAGGAUGUUGGCUUAGAAGCAGCCAUCAUUUAAAGAAAGCGUAAUAGCUCACUGGUCGAGUCGGCCUGCGCGGAAGAUGUAACGGGGCUAAACCAUGCACCGAAGCUGCGGCAGCGACGUUUAUGCGUUGUUGGGUAGGGGAGCGUUCUGUAAGCCUGCGAAGGUGUACUGUGAGGUAUGCUGGAGGUAUCAGAAGUGCGAAUGCUGACAUAAGUAACGAUAAAGCGGGUGAAAAGCCCGCUCGCCGGAAGACCAAGGGUUCCUGUCCAACGUUAAUCGGGGCAGGGUGAGUCGACCCCUAAGGCGAGGCCGAAAGGCGUAGUCGAUGGGAAACAGGUUAAUAUUCCUGUACUUGGUGUUACUGCGAAGGGGGGACGGAGAAGGCUAUGUUGGCCGGGCGACGGUUGUCCCGGUUUAAGCGUGUAGGCUGGUUUUCCAGGCAAAUCCGGAAAAUCAAGGCUGAGGCGUGAUGACGAGGCACUACGGUGCUGAAGCAACAAAUGCCCUGCUUCCAGGAAAAGCCUCUAAGCAUCAGGUAACAUCAAAUCGUACCCCAAACCGACACAGGUGGUCAGGUAGAGAAUACCAAGGCGCUUGAGAGAACUCGGGUGAAGGAACUAGGCAAAAUGGUGCCGUAACUUCGGGAGAAGGCACGCUGAUAUGUAGGUGAAGUCCCUCGCGGAUGGAGCUGAAAUCAGUCGAAGAUACCAGCUGGCUGCAACUGUUUAUUAAAAACACAGCACUGUGCAAACACGAAAGUGGACGUAUACGGUGUGACGCCUGCCCGGUGCCGGAAGGUUAAUUGAUGGGGUUAGCGGUAACGCGAAGCUCUUGAUCGAAGCCCCGGUAAACGGCGGCCGUAACUAUAACGGUCCUAAGGUAGCGAAAUUCCUUGUCGGGUAAGUUCCGACCUGCACGAAUGGCGUAAUGAUGGCCAGGCUGUCUCCACCCGAGACUCAGUGAAAUUGAACUCGCUGUGAAGAUGCAGUGUACCCGCGGCAAGACGGAAAGACCCCGUGAACCUUUACUAUAGCUUGACACUGAACAUUGAGCCUUGAUGUGUAGGAUAGGUGGGAGGCUUUGAAGUGUGGACGCCAGUCUGCAUGGAGCCGGCCUUGAAAUACCACCCUUUAAUGUUUGAUGUUCUAACGUUGGCCCCUUACCGGGGUUGCGGACAGUGUCUGGUGGGUAGUUUGACUGGGGCGGUCUCCUCCUAAAGAGUAACGGAGGAGCACGAAGGUUGGCUAAUCCUGGUCGGACAUCAGGAGGUUAGUGCAAUGGCAUAAGCCAGCUUGACUGCGAGCGUGACGGCGCGAGCAGGUGCGAAAGCAGGUCAUAGUGAUCCGGUGGUUCUGAAUGGAAGGGCCAUCGCUCAACGGAUAAAAGGUACUCCGGGGAUAACAGGCUGAUACCGCCCAAGAGUUCAUAUCGACGGCGGUGUUUGGCACCUCGAUGUCGGCUCAUCACAUCCUGGGGCUGAAGUAGGUCCCAAGGGUAUGGCUGUUCGCCAUUUAAAGUGGUACGCGAGCUGGGUUUAGAACGUCGUGAGACAGUUCGGUCCCUAUCUGCCGUGGGCGCUGGAGAACUGAGGGGGGCUGCUCCUAGUACGAGAGGACCGGAGUGGACGCAUCACUGGUGUUCGGGUUGUCAUGCCAAUGGCACUGCCCGGUAGCUAAAUGCGGAAGAGAUAAGUGCUGAAAGCAUCUAAGCACGAAACUUGCCCCGAGAUGAGUUCUCCCUGACUCCUUGAGAGUCCUGAAGGAACGUUGAAGACGACGACGUUGAUAGGCCGGGUGUGUAAGCGCAGCGAUGCGUUGAGCUAACCGGUACUAAUGAACCGUGAGGCUUAACCUU